UACGGGGGGGGCAAGCGUUGUUCCGAAUUACUGGGCGUAAAGGGUUCGUAGGUGGCCAACUAAGUCAGACGUGAAAUCCCUCAGCUUAACUGGGGAACUGCGUCUGAGACUGGAUGGCUUGAGUGCAGGAGAGGAACGCGGAAUUCCAGGUGUAGCGGUGAAAUGCGUAGAUAUCUGGAGGAACACCGGUGGCGAAGGCGGCGUUCUGGACUGCUACUGACACUGAGGAACGAAAGCCAGGGGAGCAAACGGG
rnacentral:rRNA from 1 species